GUGAAUCAUCGAAUCUUUGAACGCAAAUUGCGCCUUCUUCGGAAGGCAUGUCCGUUUGAGGGCACCAUUUAUCAAAUAAUGUGAAGCGCUUUUUGUUGCACACGUUGAUGUGCUUUCCAAGACUCAUAAAUUUUUGGUGGCGCAUAAUGAACAGCGUGAAAGUUUUUAUUAGUUCGUGAAUAGUAAUAUCUAUGCUUGGGUUGUGAAAAAACAUAAUCGCGCAAUGGGUGUGGCAAUUUCUUUUUAUCCCUGCCGCAAUGACACUCUUCAACACGAA
rnacentral:misc_RNA from 1 species